CUACGGGCCGCAGCAGUGGGGAAUAUUGGACAAUGGGGGCAACCCUGAUCCAGCCAUGCCGCGUGUGUGAAGAAGGCCUUCGGGUUGUAAAGCACUUUCAACAGUGAGGAAAGGUUAGUAGUUAAUACCUGCUAGCUGUGACGUUAACUGUAGAAGAAGCACCGGCUAACUCCGUGCCAGCAGCCGCGGUAAUACGGAGGGUGCAAGCGUUAAUCGGAAUUACUGGGCGUAAAGCGCGCGUAGGUGGGUUGUUAAGCGAGAUGUGAAAGCCCCGGGCUCAACCUGGGAACUGCAUUUCGAACUGGCAGGCUAGAGUACAGAAGAGGAUAGUGGAAUUUCCAGUGUAGCGGUGACAUGCGUAGAGAUUGGAAGGAACACCAGUGGCGAAGGCGACUGUCUGGUCUGAUACUGACACUGAGGUGCGAAAGCGUGGGUAGCAAACAGGAUUAGAUACCCCAGUAGUC
rnacentral:rRNA from 1 species